GGUAGGAGCCUUAGAAGCGUGAGCGCUAGCUUACGUGGAGGCAUUGGUGGGAUACUACCCUAAUUGUAUUGGAUUUCUAACCCGCAGCACUUAUCGUGCUGGGAGACAGUGUCAGGCGGGCAGUUUGACUGGGGCGGUCGCCUCCUAAAGAGUAACGGAGGCGCUCAAAGGUUCCCUCAGAAUGGUUGGAAAUCAUUCAUAGAGUGUAAAGGCAUAAGGGAGCUUGACUGCGAGACCUACAAGUCGAGCAGGGUCGAAAGACGGACUUAGUGAUCCGGUGGUUCCGCAUGGAAGGGCCAUCGCUCAACGGAUAAAAGCUACCCCGGGGAUAACAGGCUUAUCUCCCCCAAGAGUUCACAUCGACGGGGAGGUUUGGCACCUCGAUGUCGGCUCAUCGCAUCCUGGGGCUGUAGUCGGUCCCAAGGGUUGGGCUGUUCGCCCAUUAAAGCGGUACGCGAGCUGGGUUCAGAACGUCGUGAGACAGUUCGGUCCCUAUCCGUCGUGGGCGUAGGAAAUUUGAGAGGAGCUGUCCUUAGUACGAGAGGACCGGGAUGGACAUACCUCUGGUGUACCAGUUGUCGUGCCAACGGCAUAGCUGGGUAGCUAUGUAUGGACGGGAUAAGUGCUGAAAGCAUCUAAGCAUGAAGCCCCCCU
rnacentral:rRNA from 1 species